UUUUUUUCUUUGCAAAUACGUACUGCACAGCAGCCAGAGAUGAGAGCACCUAAGGAGCAGUGCUAUGGGAAAGAAGAAGAAAAUCUUGCCAGUUCCUGAUUAUUUUUUUUCAUUAUCCGUGAUGUUUUUGAGCGUCUUGCCCUGAAACCUUAAUGCUGCCCAAAUCAGAGGAGCUGCCUUUGCUGUGUGUGCAUCCUGCACUACGCAGUGUCCUACUUAACAGCACACUCACCUUCAUCAAAGGGGUUGGCAAGUGAUGUCCUGAUUUGGCGCACACAUUGAAUAUUCAGCUUCCUGCUUUGAGAACACAACUUUGUAGGCUUGGGUCGCCACCAGAGACACGUCACUCAGCAGGACGAAUUCGCCCAAGAAGGAAGGCUUGAAUUGAGGAGUUAAGUUGGAGCUGACAGUGUUCCUGGCCAGAAGCUUUGCUUGAAUCUCUGGGGAGAAAAGCAAUUUGUAGAGAAAGCAGCAACAGAAUCAAUUUGCAACAAAUGAGAGGAAUGGGAUUCAAAGACUCUUUUGCUGGACGUGGGGCUGGUGGCUCUGGGGAGCAACAGCUCAGCCAAAGUCUUCCACAAGCAGCCUACCUGGAUAUCAUGUGGAUUAUCUGCCCAGCUAAUUAGGAAAGUACAUAAGUAACCACUAUUACUUGCUACAGAGUGACCUAAAAAAUACAAAUCAAGUCCAAGAAGUAGAUGUGCUUUUUAAAGUCAUCACGUCUUUGGCAGCAACUGUUAGUAAAGUUGAAGUAGUCUCUGCUAGGAUUCAUUUACUGAAAGAUUUGGCUGCAUUUGAGGAAUCUCGGAGAAGAUCUGGAUGGGACAGGAGAAUCCCACAUGCAUCUGUUUUGGAGGUCAUGACCACGCUGCGUCCUGUGCCUGGACAAGGAACCAGCCCUUUCAGGUACUUCCCACUAGGAGAACUGUCUCACAGUCGUGUCACUGAUGGUAUUAAGACCCUCCAUGGACCCACAGAUGUGACAAAGGACACCUGAGUCACCCUCCAAGAAACUUCAGCGGCGGCGCUGGAAAAGUUAUGGCACCAAUUGCAUUUCAGCUUUAAGGGGAACCUCUCUGCUCUGGGCAGUGCUGUGAAACUGCAGGUUGUGACAGUGGGACAUCUCUGUGCAUUGUGCAAGGUGAGCGCCCAGCACUGACCCCAUAAUGAUGGCAGGACGUGCCAUGAGGAGCAUUCAUCCCCAGGGACAGGCACCCCACCUCCAUGGGACACAGACACAGGAACACCCUGUGCCUGG